UCCUUUUCGAUUCGGAACGCGCGAGUAAAAGGUAAACUUUAUUUUAUCCGUAGUUAUCGCAUAAUAGAUAUGUAUAAUUGCAAAUUUUUGUCAGAAAUAUUAAUUAAAGUGGCGGGCAAAUGUCGAAACGUAUUAUUUACCGCGAAUGUUCGCGAUUAACGAUGCUGGCCGUCUCGCGGCCGAACUAUAUAAAGAGGUUAUAAUUUCGGUGAAUAGGCAAAUUUUGAUGCUAGAAAUACACAGAAUGAUCUGUAUCUUCCGUUAAGAAAAUCUAAGACAGACGAAUAAUCUAUAUAGACGCGUUACGUUUUGCGAACGGCAUCGUAAUGAAUUUGCAGUGGUUGGUACGAUUGUACUACAGAGUGCGCUAGGCUUUACUAAUCACUUCCUUUUGGAUUCGGGACUCGCGAAUGAAAAGUAAACUGUUUGUUUUAUCCGUAAUAAUUACAUAGUAGAUAUGUAUAAAUUGCGAAUUUUUGUCGGGAAAGUCAAUUAAAGUGGCAAGCAAACGCCGGAAACCUAUUAUUUACCGCGAAUGUUCGCGAUUAACGAUGCUGACCGUCUCGCGGCCGAACUAUAUAAUCAGGUUAUAAUUUCGGUGAAUAUGCAAAUUUUGAUGCUACAAAUACACAGAAUGAUCUCUAUCUUCCGUUAAGAAAAUCUAUACGCAUGCGCUGUUUAGAAAAUGUUAAAAAUUUAGCUUGUCGAAAUUGAAUCGGAUAAAAUCGGAUUGAAUCGGUAGUUGUGUACGCAUUUGUAGUUGUUGACCUUGCGCGACCGUUAAAACAAUCGUUCGUCUCGCUCGUUCUGAAUGUGUGCGUAGUGUCGAAUAAAUCGUGGAAUGUAGAAGAUAAUAAUAAUCGAAACCAUUAUGUGCGUAGACAUGUUACGGCACGAAACGGGUUUCGCAAACGGCGCAGUAACAAAUUCGCGAUGUAGAUAUAUCCGUAAUUUUCGCGAAGUGAAGUGUGCGGGAGUGCGAUGUCGGUGUUUGUUCGGUAGUGCGAGUAACUAAUUAAUAAGUGCGGGUUUUCGAUGUUCGUCAGUUCUUGGAUGGAGCUGAUGUGAAAAAGCUCAUGGCGGAAUUAGAUAAAAUAAACUGCAAUAUUCUGGUUGCUUUGAUGGAGUCAAUGUGGAGUGCAACGCAAUGUGGAAUACAAUCUGGAGUACAAGGCACAACCUGCAGCAGAUGGAGCACACUACAAUACCCUAACUGGUACAGCUAUGAGGGCGUACUUAGGUAGGGUACAAUGAACA